ensembl:miRNA mir-2215 ncRNA
ACAGCACGUGUUACGAUGCUCCGUUAGUUCGGAGUUUUUACGGAGAAUCGUAGCGCGUGUUGUUU